GUCCCUUUAAAUCCCCGGGGGAUAUUGAGUGGAGUUCUGCAGGGAGACGUAAAUACCAAGAGCCAUCCUUAAGCCGCCCUUUAGACCCCGAUCCCAAACUAAACUAACGAUCUCGCUGCCUGAAGAAAAAAAGGACGAUGCAGCCUGUCGAUUUUUGACCAUUUUCUUUGCUAAUGCAGAGCCUGGCUGAAGAGAUUGUGUGCAGCAUUGGCCUGAAAACAGCCUGGGUGAAAAAAGAUAAAAAACGGGAAGCAAUCAUUCACCAAGAAUUCAGAGAUAUCGACUAUUUCGCCACUGAGGUCUCAGGCUAUAACACAUGAAGCAUUCUAAAGAAUUUCAAACUGCAUAACCUCUAUUCUCCCUCUUUGCACCAGACCCUCACCCUUGAAACUUAUUACCUGUAUUUGGUAUCACAUUUUUAUUAUUUUUUUUCUUGUGUUUAGUAGGUAAUGAAAAUCCUCUUCAUACCAGUCUCUCGCUUAAACCUAUUGCUUGUGUUUGGGUGUUUGAUGUCACAUUUUGAUAAUUUAUUCUUUUGGUUAGUAAGUAAUAAAAUCACUCUUUCUUUUGCUCAGGAAGGCCUUGGUAAUUGGCUAUUUUGUUUUCUAUCUGACUACAUUUUAAUUGAAAUGUGAUGCAUGCUAAAAUGAAAAUAAAUAUUUGUUGCAACUAUCUGAGAGAGGGGUAAAAAGAAGGAACCAAUUUUUCCUUCUCACCUUGCCUAAUAGAAAUAAAUUUUAAGAUAUGAAAUUCUUGAGAUGGCUUAAUUCUAGUUGAAUAUUCUAAACUCAAUCCAAGUGGUCAUUUAAAAUUAAGGCUCUUGCUUGCUCUACAUUAAAUAUAUUGUAUAACAUGGAAUGCAUGCUGCAAUUGCAGAUCUUUGUGAAGUAUUGCAUGCCUAAAAUGUUAUAAUGGAAAGUGUUGUAAUUAUCCAGAAUGUAUUGGGUGUAUGUACCACCAGGAGCAAGAUGCAGAAUAGAAUUAUAAAUUGUAUUCCUUCAGCACAUAUAAUGUCUAGUGUGAUUUACAAUUAAAUAAGUGUCAUAAUUAUAUUUGCUUUUUGAAACAUUUUGGCAACGGUGCCAUAAAGUAAAUUAGCUUUUGUGGUUAUUUAGGAAUAUUAUUGUGCUAACAGAUGUAUCCCAGAUGGAUGGCAAAUUGUGCCAGUUUUAUAUAGCGCAAUACUUUAAAUGAAGUUUUGCUUACUACAGUGGGUUAGUCAAGUCAUUACAGAUACCAGCAAUGGCUGUAAAUAUAAAGUGACUGAACGCGAGGCAGACUAAAUGGCAUAUUAAUAAAUAUUGGGCAUUUUCUUACUUUACCAAUUGAUUUUUUUCUCACUUUAGAUCAGGAAUGAACUAAAGAGAGUUAACCAGGGUCUCUGCUUUGUAGCCUCUGUUUUCAAUGAGAAAAAAGUGCUUCUUAAUUAAAGUUUUGGUAAACUUC